AAAGUAAUAUGUAUUCUCUCGAAUAUACAUUAUAAACCCAUCUGUGUAUCUCACCCGUUGCUUCCGCGAGGCAGUGAUCUCGGUCACCUCCGAAAGAUGGCGAAAGCCGUCCGACGGGGAGCCCCCGCGGGAGGUAUACAUCAAACCCUUGCAUCUUUAUGUCAUCUGUCUGAACUGUUUAUAACAAAUGUUA
rnacentral:misc_RNA from 1 species